AAGGUUAAGCCAUGCAUGUCUCAGUAUGAGUGCUUCUACGGCGAAACUGCGAAUGGCUCAUUAAAUCAGUUACGGUUUAUUUGAUGACUUGUGACACGGAUAACUGGGGAAAUUCUUCAGCCAAUACGUGCUUCNAAGCCGACUUUGUGGAAGGUGAGUAUUUGCUCGANUNUGAACCAACCCAGAUCUUCUGGGCUUUAAGUUGAGCGGAGAGUAAAUCUGUCCAAUCGCAUUGCACCGCGAUGCGAUGCAUCAUUCAAGUUUCUGACCUAUCAGCUUCCGAUUGUAGGGUAUUGGCUUACCAUGGCGAUGACGGGUAACAGCGAAUUUGGGUUCAGUUCUGGAGAGGGAGCCUGAGAAACGGCUACCACAUCUAAGGAAGGCAGCAGGCGCGUAACUUACCCAAUUCUGACACGGAGAGGUAGUGACAAGAAAUAACGAUACAGGGCAUUCAUGUCUUGUACUUGGGCUGAGUAGAAUGUAAACGACUCUAUGAGUAUCAAUUGGAGGGCAAGUCUGGUGCCAGCAGCCGCGGUAACUCCAGCUCCAAUAGCGUAUAUUGAAGUUGUUGCGGUUAAAAAGCUCGUCGUUGGAUUUCUGUUGAGGUCGAACAGUGCCGCCCUAUGGGUGCGCAACUGGCUCGGCUUCGGCAUCUUCUUGGAGAGCGNAUCUGCACUUAACUGUGUGGAUCGUACUUCAAGUCAGUUACUUUGAGGAAUUGUGAGUGUUUCAAGCAGGCUUACGCCGUUGAAUCCGUUAGCAUGGAAUAAUAGAAUAGGACCUCGGUUCUAUUUUGUUGGUUUUGAGAGCUGGGGCAGCGAUUGAUAGGGACGGAUGGGGGCGUCCGAACUUUACUGUCAGAGGUGAAAUUCUUAGAUCGGUCAAAGGCGAACUACUGCGAACGCAUUCGCCAAGAAUGUUUUCUUUAAUCAAGAACGAAAGUUAGGGGAUCGAAGACGAUCAGAUACCGUCCUAGUCUUAACCAUAAACGUUACUGACUAGAGAUUGGAGGUUGUGAUUCACAAACUCCAUCAGCACCUCUAUGUGUAAACAAAGUCUUUGAGUUCUGGGGGGAGUAUGGUCGCAAGACUGAAACUUAAAGGAAUUGACGGAAGGGCACCACCAGGAGUGGAACCUGCGGCUUAAUUUGACNCAACACGGGGAAACUUACCA
rnacentral:rRNA from 1 species